rnacentral:rRNA from 1 species
CCUACGGGAGGCAGCAGUGAGGAAUAUUGGUCAAUGGGCGUAAGCCUGAACCAGCCAAGUCGCGUGAGGGAUGAAGGUUCUAUGGAUCGUAAACCUCUUUUAUAAGGGAAUAAAGUGCGGGACGUGUCCCGUUUUGUAUGUACCUUAUGAAUAAGGAUCGGCUAACUCCGUGCCAGCAGCCGCGGUAAUACGGAGGAUCCGAGCGUUAUCCGGAUUUAUUGGGUUUAAAGGGUGCGUAGGCGGCCUUUUAAGUCAGCGGUGAAAGUCUGUGGCUCAAACAUAGCAUUGCCGUUGAAACUGGUAGGCUUGUGUAGGUGUGAGGCAGGCGGAAUGCGUGGGGUAGCGGUGAAAGGCUGAGAUAUCACGCAGAACCCCGAGUGCGAAGGCAGCCUGCCAAGCCAUGACUGACGCUGAUGCACGAAAGCGUGGGGAUCAAACAGGAUUAGAUACCCUUGUAGUC